CACGUAAAGAACCUGCUCAUAGACUGGGACAACUAUUGGAAACGAUAGCUAAUACCGGAUAACAGCAUUAACUGCAUGGUUGAUGUUUAAAAGUUGGUUUUGCUAACACUAUGAGAUGGCUUUGCGGUGCAUUAGCUAGUUGGUGGGGUAAAGGCCUACCAAGGCGACGAUGCAUAGCCGACCUGAGAGGGUGAUCGGCCACACUGGGACUGAGACACGGCCCAG
rnacentral:rRNA from 1 species